rnacentral:lncRNA from 1 species
AUCAUUAGAUAAAAGGGAACCGAGUUCCAGUGGGAUUUCACUAGAUCUUGUUAAUAGCUAAGCAUGCCCAUGUACUGCAACUAGUUAGGUGUUGUCAAAUUUGUUCUGAUGUGGCUCACAAACCAUCGUUUAAUUUAGUAGCUUGCUGAAACUCUUAGCACACGAUUUAUUAAGUGACCUAUGGCUGCUGGCUGUAGACCCAUUGGUGGUCAACUCCACCUAUGUUUAUCUGUAAGUCCAGUUAUUUGUCUCCCCUACCUGUAGCUUGCAAAUUU